AAGUUUUACCAAGCCAAACGAAACAAUAUAGGAACCGGUUAAGAGUAAGGGCGACAUAUGUCCAUUAGGAAAAAAACAAAGUCUUCCCACAUUCUUAAAAAGCAAGAGGAAAAUUCCAAGGGCAAACUGUACCAAUUCCUAGAAACAAAACAUAUAAAAGAUGACAUCAAAUUUCGCAAAUUUGCAUUUGAAGAGAGAGAGAGAGAGAGAGAGAGCAUUAGCACAACACAACACGGCCAACCAACAUGCACAGCCCCCAAGAAAACACAAGGAGCAUUUAGUGGACAGCCUGACCAGCAGUUUGAAUUAACAAGGUAAUGAAACAGUGUUUUCAGACCCCCAAAAAAAUCUACUUUGGCUCUUUUUUACUGCUUCAUCUUCCUGUUAAUUUCUGGCUUUUUGUUGGAAGGGAAGCAAAAAUGGAAAAAACACUUCUGGGUUCGCUUUCUCCAGAAAUGGGGUUUUUCCAAGAGAUAGGUGAAGAAGAAGAAGAAGCACAAAGUAGGCACUAACAAAGAAGAAGAACUGAGAGAGAGAGAGAGAGAGAGAGAGAGAGACCAACUUGAGCAUUUUGCAGAGCCUUUCAUAUGAAUUCACAAAUAGCUAACAAAGUAGAAAAGCAACAAAGAUGAGAGCAAAUUGGAAGCAGAGAAAUACAAGAUUGAGCCGUCCCGCCAAUAUCACCACCACCACCACCACCACCGUUAGAGGCUAAACAAGCAGGAGAACAGUGAUAAGCAAGUGACAAGAAUUGAACCUCGCAAAAGAGCCCAAAUCUGCCACACCUCACAUAAGCAAAAAGAGCAAUGCCAUUCUUCAGCUCGCCACCCAACACCACCACCGCCACCACCGCCAGAUGCACUCCCCACGCUCCACCGCCGUCGCCGCCGCCUUCGCCGUCGCUUCCACAGUCGCAGCAGCAGCAGCAGCAUGUGUUCACCCAUCAAUUGAGGCGAAAGGUGGAAUUUUUAAGCAGCGUUACCCCCAGAAAACAAGAUAGAACAGAGGCGGGUGGGGUGCUUGCGUGCCUGUCAGAAAGAGCACAAAUCAUGGAAGAGGGAAACAUGGGUUUUUCCGUUCUCGCAACGUUUCCUUCCCUUCUCUCAAGAAUUCCUCGUUUCCUGGGAGUACCAAGUCGUGUCUUCUUGUCCUGUCCUGAAAAGAAAUGGAGAAAAGGGCUGUUGGGAAAUGAUAAGAGAGGGAGGGAGGGAGGGGAGGUUGUGUGCUGCGCUGGGUUACAAGAAGCCGAGGACGUGAGAUUGCCUUGGCUUCGUGCGUGCACGGGAAGAGACCAUUUCUGCAACUGUACUCUCCCCCUUCUUCUCACACCAUAAUGAUGAGGCUUAAAAGUGACCUGAGCGAGAGUGAAAACGAAAUGGGUCUUGUGUGUUUUUCCUGAGGGAAGAGGGAAGGGGGUGGGGGUGUGUUUUCCUUUGAUAUGGAUUGUGAUUUGAUGUUUGGCUUUAAGCUCGGGCGAUUUCUGCUUGCCCCAGGAGGCCCAGGAUUAGCUAGAUUUGCGCAAGCAACCUCUGCUGCUGUCCUGUUUCCCUUGCCUGCCCUCAAACGUUCUCCUGAAUUACAUCCGUGUCCCUCCCUCUCUAUUGCCCCCUCUGAGAAAGAGAAACGAAAAAAAGCAGGGCUGUAACAUCACCACCACCGAAGAGAAAAGCGACGUCCAUGUCCUAAAACAUAUCGGUCAGUCAAAACGGGGUUCAGCUCUUUCUGAGGCUACUGUGAAUAUUUAAGUUUGAAAAUGGGGGAGAGAGAGAGAGAGAGAGAGAGAGAGAGAGAUGGAGACUGAGAGUUGCGACUAAACAGGGGCGCCACAGUCGAGGACCAUCGAGACGGACACCCGAGAACCAAAAGGACCCCGACUAGACAUUGAGUCCCCCUCCCCUUUUCCCACGGCCUAACAUUCGGUUUUGAUUGGUUCUAGGCCUUCUUCCACUGCACACUCGUUCAUGUCCAGGUCUAUUCCUAUUCUAUGUUUGCCUGCCCCCCCACCUCCUCCUCCUUGUGAACUCGAACCGCUGUUUUGCACUAUCGCACGUAUAGCUUCGCGCACUUCACUUCGUCAAUCACGACCCCCGACUUUCGAAAAAGGAUGAGAAAAGAGGGAAAGCUAACCGCAAGCAAGCAAAAAGGUGGAACUCCAAGUGGUCUCCCUCUCGCCCUGUUCCUUUCCUUUGUAAGAACCCCAAAAGGCCUUUGGAAUUAUCUCUAUUCAUAUGCAAUUACUAUUCGGCAGAACAUCGUAGGCUAGGGCAUGGAAGAUAAUUCACUCGUGAUUCGCUUAUUAUCAACGUCGAUGACAUGCUUUUUCUAAUUGAAUCGACUACAUUAUUUGAAUCUAAUACAUUAAAAUUGACUAUGAUAUCAUCUAAUCACGGUGAUCGAGAACACUUUUGAAAAGUGAUCGUGAUAUCAUUUUUCCACGCCAUUGAUGUAUGAUUGGUUAAGAUUAAACCAAUUUGACCUUAUGGUUAAGUGCAAGGAAUGUGACCAUAAGUAGGUAAGGUUACAACUACAAGCAUGAGUUAAUGAAGGUGGUGGGGUCUAUGGUCAUUGCAAAAUCCAGGCACGAGUUAAUGAAGGUAGAAGAGAGGGAAAAGUACUCCCGGAUUUUUCGUAUCCAUGUUCAAAGGGAAGCGUCUUCCCCUAUCUCACAAUGCGUGAGAAUGAGCAUUAGAUGGGCUGUGCAGUUUCCUUUCGAGGGUCCUGCAGCUUCCUUGCUUCCAUGAGUGACCAAAUUCUGCUCCUCACCCAUUCCAUUCUGUCAAUAUUUGGGCAAGUUAGUGCAUUUCUGUACUAGUGCAUUUCUGUACUCUUUUUCCCCCCUUUCUUCUUUUUACUCAGCUGGCCUAAGGGACUAAGGGAGAUUUUUUUUAUUGGGGGGGGACCCUAGUUCUACUAAGGGAAGAUACACUUGAAUUCGUGUUGAGCAAUGCCUUGAAUGCAAAGAUUUCGUAAAAUUGACACGGUAUAUGAAUUUGUGAGGGAUAAAGUGAAGAAAUCACUUUUAGGGAGCAAAGUGAUGCUCGAGGAAUUAAAGUGUUGAUUAUCUUUUCAAAAAGCAAGAGUCUGGGAGCCCAGGGUAUGAUUACCAGCUUGCAUGUGGCUAAGUUGCAUUGAGAGAGAGAGAGAGAGAGAUUUCACAUUGAUAAGAUCAAUGAUGCAAACGACAGAAACGGAUGAAAUGCAAAGCUUGGAUUAAACAUGAAGUUAGCUAUAAUUAUUAUGAAACCUUUCUUAAUAUUUUCCCUCACGUGUAAACAGUCACGCAUGUGAAAAACAUGAUAUUGACAUAAUCGCUUGAAAACAAAAAGAAAGGUUUUGAGAUGGAAAACUAAUUGAAAAACAUGAACAAUUGAUGAGAUAAAGAUGAUUGUAAGUGAGAUGACUCGAUUAUGUGACAUGUUAUCAUUUCAAUAACGAUUAUCCCAAUGAAAAGUAAGAAAAGAAAACGCGCAAUAAAAAAUGGGAGAAAUUCUCCAAGAUUAUUACUAUUAUCAUCAUCAUUAGAUCCUGCAGAUCAUCAUCUCUCCUAGUUGGGGGAAGAAUCGAAAAUUUUAUGCAUUUCUCCAAAUUUUAAAGCUUAAUUUAGGUUCAACUUAUUUAAAUUUGACCAUAGGAUAAGAGAAAAUAAGAAGAGAGAGAACAAGAGAAACGAUGGAGAAGCUGAAUAGGAUAGGAUCGGAGAAGAUAUCAAUCGUUAUCGACUGAGAUCUCCAGUCCAUUUAUAGAAACUUUUGAUGGGGGGUACUGGGCAUUCAUGCACAUCCCUAGAACAGAAAAAGUUCAAAGGAGUCAACGUACGAAAAUUCAAACCCAACACCCUCCUGCGCGCCGCGCCUUUUCAGGUUUAACUCUUCCUCAACACAUGAACAUCCAAGCUCAGACGCAGAAAACACGCACUGUAGUGAGAGAGAGAGAGAGAGAGAGAGAGAGAGAGAGAGAACCUGUUACAGUGAUUAUAUGUACUUGGAAUCUCGCUUGUUUCACUGUUAAAGAAAGAACUUCGAGCCCUCAGGAGCUGCGAAGCGUUACGGAGGCUCUUCCUAGGGUUUGAACAUUCAUGUGAGUGAGAGAGAGAGAGAGA
rnacentral:lncRNA from 1 species